rnacentral:lncRNA from 1 species
GAAUAGGAUUGAGGACCAGGAGCACAAAAGGAAAGAACUGAUGUUCAGCUUUUGACUGAAUAGGAUCCUGCAGUCCUUAGCCAGAUAAUGGUCUUGAAAGCCAGGGUUUGUCGAGAGACGGGAGAGGCUUUCUAAGUCCCUGAAGUCCUCUUUGCAUAUCAAGAGCGCAGCCUGGCUGCCUCGAGAUCACAGGAGGAGUGUGGAGAGGAGGAAGGGCAGGACGAGCGGGAAACUCCCAGACCAGGAGAAGGAGGUGGGCGUCUGCCAUCAGAGGAGGGGGCAGUAGGGACCACCGUGACCGUGUGAUGGAUGACGAUGCUUACAAGGCCAUGGUCUACUUGGGGACCCUUCCAGCAUGUGACAGGAGACAUCCGUGGUGAUUAGUCAGGGGCUGCAUGGGAACAGCCUGCUGACUCCCGGGCGUGUCACGGCAGUGGCUUCCAAGCCAUCACUCCCUCCAGCACAGGAGGAGGCCCAGAUGAAAAGCCUCAAAGAUGCCUGGCAAAUGAUGUGCAGGAAAGAAUUAUGCAUCUUGUUCCAAUUAAGAUGUUGGAAGAGAAGAGCAUCUAAUUGUCCCACAAUUACCUUUAUUUAUCAAACUCAGAAUGAAGUGUGGUUGUGAAGCAUCUCAGGAGAGCUGUGUGGAGCUGGGGACGGUCCAGGCUCUGACGGGCAUCCUAGCCACGGCAGAAGAGAAGGCCAGCCUCCCGGGCCCCGGGGAUGAGCAGGGGUAAGGCCCUGCACAAAAGGGCCAGGUGGGCACCAGUCCUUCCCUCCAGGUGGCAGAUAUAGAAGGCAAGUGUUGGCCCUGACAAGUGGGCCCAGGGCACGUGAAGUCGGCAGCAGGCGUGAAGGCCUGGAGGAAAAUGUUGGAAAAGUUCAAUUCUCCUCGGUCAAUUCUGACCUUGAGUGCCUUGGAAUCCAAGGAUGGAGCAUUUUCCAGAUCCAAGAAUGGAGAGUUUUCUAGAGCCCUGGACAGCGUUUUCCCAGACCUAGGAAUGGAACUUUCCAGAGCUGGGGAUUGAGAAUUCUCUUGAGCCAGAAAUAACAUGCCUCAACUCAUUGUCGUAGGCUUUUGCAGAGGGAGGCAGGGAAAAAUGUGAAGAUGGAGGGGCCAGGUCUCGGUCAGAGUGGAGAAGAGCCUCUCCUCCAGAGGCAAAGGGUGCUGGCAUCCGGGCUGCUCGAUCUCUUGGGGUAUCCACAGUCACGCCGAGACCCCAUCAGACUCCACCCUUCGUGAUUACAACUCCCAGACAGCAGGAGGCAAAGCUCAUCAGCGUCUCAGAGACACAAACCUGCUUGAAAAUGGUUCCCACUCCCAGAUGAUCCAGAGCUAUGCCCCAAGGUCAAUGUGAAAGCUCAUUGAAUCAUUUUACUGCAGUGGAGAAAAAAGUCUAAAAGCAAGUUCCCUGCCUCAACCCUAUGGACAGAAAGGACCUCAGGGCCUCUUUUGUCAACUGGGGUGUUGAGCUUGCCUCCUUUCAUCAUUACGUUGGUAAUUUGUGCACUCGCCCUAAAUAAAUAGUAGUGAAUAGAUCUAGGUAUUGGAACGGAUAGGAAUUUGGCAUCAUCAGAACCAGCUUAGGAUCCAUUGGCAAGCUUCUGUUCAGUCCAGGCUUCAGUUUUCCCAUUUGACAAAUGGCAACACCGUGGUUCAUCCUGUGUGUGAAGCGCCCCAGCAUGGCGACCAGGGGGUGGCGGCCUUCUAAGAAAUGUAAGACGCAGGCAGUGAGGAGAAAUAAGCACCGGCCUGUCUGGGGGCCGACUCUCCUUAAUGGGGUGUCCUGGGAGACCUCACUUCCUGCCCCGACCCUCAAGUUCCCCCUCUGUGGGCAUCAAGACUUAAGAGAGAUGACAACAGCUACUACCCAUGGCAGCUCUGACGUGUAUUAACAGUCUGGGAGCUGCACUUUGGCCCUCGGAAAGGCGCCCCAAAGCCCGUCCUUUGGGCAGGAGGCGCUGAAUCAUUUCUCAGCGUCUGUAAUGACAUCCGUCAACAUCUUGUUGGAGGGUCAGGUGAGGUUCUCGUGGUGUAAAUAUGGUGACUCGGCCAAGGACCCAGGAACGGUGGACACCUCCUGGCCGAUCAAUCCUCCUCCCUCGAGAUUUCCCGGGCAGCUAUGCGUGCAAGGAUGAAAAACAAAUGGGAAAUUAAAGUGCUCCAGUGACAAGAGAGGAGUGAGGGCCGCCUUCGCUCUCCGAGGCGGGCUCUCUGCCCAGAAGGGAGGGACAGCAUUUCUCAUCACACGAACCAAAUCUGUUUCUGAAGACGUGUUGGGAAGCGACACUAUAGAGACGAUACGGUUUCUCUUGCCCACCCGAACUCCCAACCAAUUAACCCAAAUAUCUCAAAAACACCGUUAAACACCUAUACGACAGCCUCGCAAGGAUUUCUGCCUAAAACAGAGCAUUGUAAACUGAAAUCAAUAAAAAGUUA